rnacentral:rRNA from 1 species
UACAGAGGGUGCGAGCGUUAAUCGGAAUUAUUGGGCGUAAAGCGCACGUAGGCGGCUUCGCAAGUCCCAUGUGAAAGCCCACGGCUUAACCGUGGAAGUGCAUGGGAAACUGCAGAGCUUGAGUACUUAAGAGGAUCGCGGAAUUCCCGGUGUAGAGGUGAAAUUCGUAGAUAUCGGGAGGAACACCAGUGGCGAAGGCGGCGAUCUGGGAAGAUACUGACGCUGAGGUGCGAAAGCGUGGGGAGCAAACAGG